UUUAUUAGAGUAAGUAAAAAGUUGAAGAUUCAAUAUUAAAUAAUAAAUAAAUGUGUCAUAAUUCCAUAUUUAUAUUGUAAUACCCAAAUUUUUACCCGGCCCAUAAUAAACAAAUAAAGUCCAGUUUUUACAAGCCCAAUUACAAGACAAGUUACAUGGCCCGAUUUCAAACGGUGGCCCAGUUACAAACACGGCCCAAAAUAGAUGAAGAAACCCUAGGGUUUCUAAUCUUCAACAGCGCCGCAAGACGAGUCCUCCGGAUCUCCGUGAUCUUCACCUGCAAGGAAACAAAACAACAAUGAAAGAAAUAAAACAGCAAAGAUAGAAAGAAAAUCAAAGAUUCGUAAAUCGAAUCAAACAAGAUUUGUUUCUUUAUUUCUUUUUAUUUUUCAUUCGGCUAUAAAAAAAGCCAUUAACACACUGUAAUAGGGAUCGAAAAUUCAGAAAUCAAAUAAAAUAGAGGCUUUUACUUUCGCAAUACAGAGCAAAAUCAAUACAAGGUUUACAUCUACAGUUUUUUUAUCUUGUUUUAUUGUAAUCUAUUAUUAUUUUUCUAUUCGAAUAAAAAAUAAAUUAAAUUAAAGGAAAGAAAUAACCUUUCUUUUGGAAGCGCCGUGAGACGGCUGAGGGAGCCACCCCCGAGGAUCGGUGGCCGGAAACCGAAAGGUUUCGUGUUGUUUCGAACCUUUUUGCUGAUAUUUUGAAGGAUUUAAGCCCAGAUUUGGGCAUAAGGGGGUCGAGAAGGCCAAACUGGGGAUUUUCACCUUUUCCGGCCACCGCAGACGGUGGUGCCGGCACCGGAGAUCGGCAGCCGAAGCGAUGGCCCACGAAGGGCCGAUGACCGACCGAUGGCCAGAGAACAGAGGGGCUGAGAGUGUUUCUUAAAAGGAUUUGUGGUUUUUUU
rnacentral:lncRNA from 1 species